AGCAGGCCUUCAAGAAAAGCAAGCUGGAAACUCUAAGGCAGGAAAUGACACAGAUAGUACACAGAAUACCUUCACAGCAAUAAUGCGUUAUGAUCUGAAUUAUUGAGUACUACAACUACCAGGCUGACACAUUAAGCUGACUACUAGAGAUGUCUUUCAGGAUUCUGAACUGAGAGGAGUGGAAAACAUUGGUAACCUAAUUAAGACAAGGAAUACAUGAGGAAGAACAGAUGGUGGACCUGCUCAUGAGUUUAGAAAUUUUGGUCUCCUGGAUCUGCCUUACAGUAAUACCAAGUGGAACAUUCAGGUAGGAUUUUUAAACACUAUUUGUUCAACAAUGUGAAUAUAACAAUGACCAACCAAAGAGGUUUGAGAGAGAUUGGCAAGUCUGCAUGAUCAUGUGCCAUGGAAUCAAUCUAUUCUACUAUCAGGUUUUUCUUUUCCAGGUAUGGAAUCACUUUGAUAUAUUUGAUUUGAUUGGCAUCUGACCUUUACUCAGUGCAAAUAUGACAGGAAAUGUAAA